rnacentral:rRNA from 1 species
UACGUAGGGGGCAAGCGUUGUCCGGAUUUAUUGGGCGUAAAGAGCUCGUAGGCGGUUUGUCGCGUCUGCCGUGAAAGUCCGGGGCUCAACUCCGGAUCUGCGGUGGGUACGGGCAGACUAGAGUGAUGUAGGGGAGACUGGAAUUCCUGGUGUAGCGGUGAAAUGCGCAGAUAUCAGGAGGAACACCGGUGGCGAAGGCGGCUUUCUGGACGAUAACUGACGCUGGAGAACGCGAAAGCCGUGGGGAGCGAACCGG